rnacentral:lncRNA from 1 species
UCUAGUGCAAGUGGGAGAUUGUUGGAAAUGUGCCUUAAAGCCAAUCAUGUGAUGAUACUUUACGGACAUUUCACAUGUUAAACUAAUCUAGUUUUACAUAUAAAGGGCAUAAAUUAUUGUUUGAGCCGUCUCAUAUAAAUAUUAUAUGCUUAAACGAUAAAGUCCAAGGAAUAUGUGAUUGGGGAGAAUGUAAUCUAAUGAAGUUAGAUUCAUGAGACCAUUCUUUCGUAGACACAUCCUAAAUGUUCCUGAUCAUAGGAUUGCCAAUUGGGCGUUGACAGUCCGUUAAGAUCAGUACGUACUAUGUCUUCUCUCAGGGAGAGUGAUUAGUCUCGAGUCAUUGGUGUGUGACAUCAAGACAAGUACGUAGGUGCUCAAUAGAGAAUGAGUUCACUGAACGUGAUCAACGAAGAGUUCUUAUAUUCCAUGUCACAUGAGAACUCAUGGUUGGGAUAAUGCAAAGUAGUCCUUUGACCUGAGGCAUCACAGUUGUCUUGUGGUUAAGUCCUUGAUCUUUGAUUAUGUCAAAGUCACCCCCUCGGGGUGUCCACGGCAUCGUUGGGGUUAAGCCACUUAGCUAUGGAGACAAGUGAAUGCGCAACAAGGGAUCUCUAACCCUUCAAACAGUUGAGGGAGAAUACUCUAUGAUAUGAUUUGGAAUCUCUGGCCAGAGUAUGAAUCAGAUUAGGGAAUGCGUUCCAAAUCACAUUCAAGGAAAUCAUAUAAGCACACGAAUCACAUUGGAUAGUAGACAUGAAUAAAUAAACUAUCAUACCAAACAAUGUGGUCAAGAGUAUUAGAUUAGAGAAUGACCGUAUUGCAUUUGUAAUCCCAAACUGAAUAGGUUCUCUAUCCUCUUCUGAUUAGCUUGGGUAACCAUGAUAUGCUGCUAGGUGUCACUCAUGGUUUGUGGAAGCCCUAAACGUGUCUAAUCACUAAAGGGAGAAUUGAAAAUAGUUUCAAUUCACAAUCAAUGUAAAAUGGUUUUAAUCGCCCACUACCUCGCUAAAAGGAACCUAAUGGAUCGCACACCAUAAAAGGUGGAGAUUGAAGAUUAAACGGAAAUGAGCAAGAAUGAUUAAAUGGUUUAAUCAUUUAUUUAUGGCAAGGAUUAAUUAAUAUGUUAAUUAAUCAAACGAAUAAGUUCGUUAAAUACUUCGGGAUAGUUUUGGACCUUAAG